AACGAGCCGAACACAAGCGAGUUGGAUCAACUCAUAUUCGGUAACGAGACGAAGACGAACUAACUCGUUAAAGUACCAAAUCAAAAAAUUUAGCUCAUAUUUGGCUUUUUAAACACGAGCUGACUCACGAGCUGACCAAUAAACAAUACGUUAAAUAAAUUAGAUUGGAUAUAUAUAAAAAGAGUUGAGCUAGAAUACUAUCGGUAGUAAACGAGCCAUUUUACUACCGAUUUGUUUUCGAUGAUAGAGCUUCCAAAUUGACGAUCGGCUCCGUUAAAUAUGAUCUAAACCAUUUAAACUACCUAGAAAUUAAAUUUCACGCACUUUCGAUAUUGUUCUUUUAUCCAUCAAGUGAACAGAAAAAUGAAUGGCUGAAAAUGAAUACUCUGUAAAAAAAUGAUGAUAGGAGUCUUGUAAUCAAGAUCAAGAGUAUAGAUCUUGUUUUAAAUAGUUCAAAGAAUUUUCUAACAAAAAUUUAAUUGAUUUGGAUAUCUUUACGCCGUUAAACGAGAAAACGCCUCUUAUCGACCAUUAAAAUUACAAAUUUUGAGAUCCUUUGAUCAUUAGGCAAAUGAUGUCGAAAAGAUUUGAAAUUUGAUUUCUAAACACUUCAAGUGGUAUAGAUCAUGUUCAACGGAGCCGAUCGUCAAUUUGGAAGUUCUAUCAUCGAAAAUAAAUCGGUAGCAAAACAGCUCGUUUACAACCGAUAGUAUUCUAGCUCAACUCUAUAUAAAAAAUAAAUUUAUAAAAUCUUAUAUAUCCUUUUAGACUUUGAUCGAAUUAAUGGUUGAAACUUUACAUAUAAAUAUUUUUUUUUUUUUAUAAUUGAGCUCGGUUUUAUAUUAUUUUUGCUAAAAAUCAAUCAAAGGCCAAUUUGCAUAAAAAAUUCACUUAUUUUGGACUUUUGCAAAACGAUGCUGCCUUUUUCGCUUUUGCAGAUUCGGUCCGCUUUUUCAGCAAACUGACCAAAAUACCCUUAUAUCUUUUUCUCUUUCCUCUUUCUCUCUCCUCUUCCUUUCUCUCGCUCUUUUUCUUUCUCUUCCCAGAGAGCGGCGGAGACGUAGCGGAGGCGCCCUUAUACCUUUUUCUCUCUCCUCUUUUUUCUCUCGUUCUUUUUUUUUUCUCUUCC
rnacentral:lncRNA from 1 species